ACUGUAUUGGGUUGGCCGACCAUUUCUCUCAUUUCUUUGCCUCGUUUCUAUCUUAUUCUCUCUUGUAAGAAACAUCUAGAAGCCCUAACCACCAUUAACAAAUUCUUGGAUUGAGCUCCUAUCUUCUGUUUUAUCAUGGUAUCAGAGAGGGAAUCGAUCAAUCCUUGUUCUCCUCUAUCGGGCGGUGUUACCCUCGCCUGAUUUCGUCAAGUUUUCACUACAGUCGGAGUUAGGUGGAAGUUUCCUUUCUGAUCAAAUUUUGGUUACGCAGAAGAUUCAGUCACUCGAUUUCAUCAGAUUAGGAUUUUUCUUGGUGCAUUCAUCAGAGCUUUUCUCGUUUUCCAGGCCUUACUUCUUCAGGUUGCUAAGAAGGCUGGCAUUAUCUUCUCUUAUUUGAUUUAUUGUGUGUGGUUUUGUGUGUUAUCAUUUGUGACUUGUUGCUGUGAGUUGUUGAUUGAUACUCCUUAUUUGAUAUCAUGACUGGUUCUAGUACAUCUUCUGCAUAUACUCAUGAGCCUUUCUCUCCCUUGUACCUCCUAUUUUUUUUAUAUUCCCGGAGUAUCCCUUGUCCUGUACCUUUCUCAGGGAAUGGUUUUAGGGGUUGAAAUGUAGCAUGAUAGUUUCUCUUCCCUCUAGGAAUAAGAUAGUUUUUAUUAAUGGUUCAUGUCCCAAAACUGUUGUGACUUCCCCUGAUUAUAAACAAUGGGAUCGUUGUAAUAACAUGGUUAUAUCAUGGAUAAUUAGCUCGUUGUCUUCAAAAAUAGCUGAAAGUGGUCACUACUCAGAGACAGCUAAAAGUAUUUGGAAACAAUUAAGUAACAGAUAUGGAACUGUAAAUGGCACCAAAGUAUUUGAAUUAAAAAGGGAAUUAGCAUCUACUUAUUAAGGAUCCCUUGAUAUUGCUUCCUACUUCACCAAACUUAAAAGAAUCUGGGAUGAAUUGAGGGUACUAUGCACCAGCCAUGUAAAUACUUGUACGUGUGCUGCUAAAGAAGGUCUUCAGAAGGAGAAAGAGGAGGAUAAAGUCCAUCAGUUCUACAUGGGAGGAACAUGUGGGUGUCAAAAGCAAUUUGCUAAUGAUGCAACCUUUGCCAUCUGUUGACAAUGUCUACAACAUCCUUCUGUAAGAUGAAAAACAAAGACAAGUCAAUCCUACUAUACAAUUUACUGCUGAAUAAGCAUCUUUCAAUGUCAAUUCUCCCAAUGACAAACCUCUUCAACCACAAAUUAAUAUUUAGGGUCAUCAGAGACAUUUUGAUCAGAGAGUCAAUUUUGACAAAUCUAGGUCUAACCUCUUUUGUAAGUAUUGUGUGAUAUCUGGGAACUCUAUUGAUAAGUGUUUCAAGCUUCAUGGUUCCCUCCCAAUUUCAAGUUCACUAAAGGAAAGAAAGCAACUGCCAAUGUGGUUAUGGACUAUGACUUUUCUACUCCUAAGUGUUCUUCACCCAACCAAGCCCUUGUUUUUGCUGCUAGUUCUAAUGAACAUGGUUCUGGGGUGCCUGGAUUGACAAAGCAGCAGCAUUAUCAGUUGAUUUAACUACUACAGUAAUAUCUCUGAUUCUGGAUCUCAAUUCAACAUAAUGAGCUCUGCCAAUUUUGGUGGUACUUUACUGCCUAAGAAUAUAGUAUAUAGUUUUAAUUCUACCCUACUAAGUCAAUCUGAUUCAUUAACUUGUAUUGUUGACUCUUGUGCAUCAGAUUACACGACCUCAAACAAUAUUACCUUAUUAAUAUCACACAUUUACCUAUUCCUUUCCUUGUUUCCCUGCCAAAUGAAUACAAAGUUAAAGUCACUUGCACAAAUUUGUGUAAGAACAACCUUCUCAGCCCCAAGCUACUUUGUCAAAUUCUUGUUGCAGCUUGUCAUCUAUUUGUAAUCCGAUUUCUGUUCCUUCUAUUGUAAAUAUUAUUUCUUCCACUUGUAAUAAAGCUGCAAUGAAUAAAAUGGACAUUGUUUGGCAUUGUGGACUUGAUCAUGUCCCUUUUAUUAGAA